rnacentral:tRNA from 1 species
GGUAAAAUGGCUGAGUUAUAGGCGAUAAAUUGUAAAUUUAUUAACGAAUUUGAUUCUUUUACCA